GCCAGGUGUGGUGGCUCAUGCCUGUAAUCCCAUCUGCUCAGGAGGUUGAGGCAGGAGGAUCUCGAGUUCAAAGCCAGCCUCAGCAAAAGCGAUGUGCUAAGCAACUCAGUGAGACCCUGUCUUUA
rnacentral:sRNA from 1 species